GCUUACAACCAUACAACACUGAGCAUGCCCGAUCUCGUACGAUCUCAGAAGCUAAGCAGUGCUGGGCCUGGUUAGUACUUGGAUGGGAGACCAACUGGGAAAUACCAGGUGCUGUAAAAU
ensembl:rRNA 5S_rRNA 5S ribosomal RNA